AGCAAUGUCCAACAAACAGUAAAAAAUUUGCUCUCAGCCAAAUUUCAAUCAGCCUAAAAAAAACAACUCACCAAAAUCUUUUUGUACUUCACGUUACAAUAUUGCCAGUACAACUCAGAAGAAAAGAGAUUAUCCUGAGUCAAAUUCCUAUUGAUAUUUCCAUAUAUAGAAAAGACUUGGGCACUGAGUUUUAAAGAAAAAAUCCUUUUUAAAGCCUUGCCAACAGACGUCAAAAAUUUUAUUGUCAAAUCCCUCCAGUGCUUCUGGAUGGGUAAAGUAUCAAGGAGAAGGUGACUGAGACUUUAGCUUCACAGAAGAUGCAGAAACAAGAGUAGAUGCAAGGGAAGUAUGGGGAUGAUGCUUCCACAGACAAUCACUAGCUGCUCUUACUACAGAAUGUGAAUGCCCUUGCUGCUGAUUAACUUCAUAUCGCUACCUUCUGUCUUAUCCUCACUCCAAUUUUACACAUAGACACUGAGUGUCUAUAGGGGCAAUCAAAAUUGUUAAAUCAAUGCACCUAAGAUGAAGUGUGUUCAAUUGCCACGUUAAUGUUUCUUUGAAGGAUAAAGUGUCCAGGAUAAAGUGUCCUUGAUUCCCGGCAGCCUCUGAUGGACUUCCUGCAUAUGAAAGAUCUUCUACAUAAACAUCCACAAAUGAGAAUCAUAUGCAAUUUCUGCCAGCCUGAUCCCAAAUGGGCCCCUCCAUGCCAGGGAAACUGGUGAGCAACCUCCAGUGAAGUGUCCAAGGAGAUGAGCCAUGGAGCACCUACACAGCGGGUGUGGGUGCAGUAACCUGCUGCUGGAUGGUGACAAGCAAUGAGACACUGUAUCUUCAUCAGUUCCAGCUAUGUCAGGAAGGAAACAUCAAUCUGCUGCCCUGCUGAUGGCUAAACCAGUAUAAACAGAUCUAACCAUGCUAAACCCUUGACUGCACACAACCAUGUGUACUAUACUUGCUAUAUUGAUUUGAAAAUCGAUAAUGCUAAGUGGGUAACCCCCCUGUGUAAACAUAUUUAUAGCACUCUAAAGGAUUUUUUUCCCACCAAAAUGAUAUUCCUAUAAAUUUAUCUCUAAUACCAUUUUAUCUAAUACCAAUUUUAUCGUAAUCUACAGCAUGAAGUAGUGUUGCAUCCUGAGCCAAUAUAUAAGCAUUAAAGAUGACUACUUUAUCUCUAUUUAUAGUCUCAUAAAGCUGUUUUAAUUUAAUCUUAUCUAAUUACACUGCAAUGUAAAAUAGUGCAAUUUUUAAGUAGUUUUAGGAGGCCUUUAUUAGCCAAAUGACGCAAAAGGAAUAACAAAAAAACUACUGAGCAGGGCCAAAUGAAGUUGUAGCAUAGCUGGGAGGGUUGGGCUGCAGGUUAUGUUAUUCCCAUGCCAUGUGACAUGGAAUGAGCAACUCUGAGGUGUGCUGGUAGCCUCCACUGUAGCCAGGUCUCUUGAAUGCCCUUUUGUCAUAUUUGAAAGGAUAUAACUUCAAACCAAGUAAAACAGCAGAAUAAAUAGAUAACUUCUGAUAUUAAAAUCCUUCA
rnacentral:lncRNA from 1 species